rnacentral:rRNA from 1 species
CAAGCGGUGGAGCAUGUGGUUUAAUUCGACGCAACGCGAAGAACCUUACCCAGACUUGACGUUGAUAGAAUCCCUUGGAAACUUGGGAGUACUCUUCGGAGACUUGAAAACAGGUGCCGCAUGGCUGUCGUCAGCUCGUGUCGUGAGAUGUUGGGUUAAGUCCCGCAACGAGCGCAACCCUUGCCGUUAGUUGCCAUCAGGUAAUGCUGGGCACUCUAACGGGACUGCCGGUGUCAAACCGGAGGAAGGUGGGGAUGACGUCAAGUCCUCAUGGCCUUUAUGUCUGGGGCUACACACGUGCUACAAUGGCAGGUACAAACCGCUGCGAACUCGCAAGGGGAGGCAAAUCGGAAAAAACCUGUCUCAGUUCGGAUCGGAGUCUGCAACUCGACUCCGUGAAGUUGGAAUCGCUAGUAAUCGUGGAUCAGCAUGCCACGGUGAAUACGUUCCCGGGCCUUGUACACACC